ensembl:snoRNA U8 U8 small nucleolar RNA
CCCAAAGUGCUGGGAUAAUCCUUACCUGUUCCUCCUUUGCAGGGCAGAUAGAACAUGAUCAUUGGAGAUGCAUGAAACGUGACUAACGUCUCUGUGUAAUCAGGACUUGCAACACACUUAAUUUUUUUUUUUAAU